CUAUGUAACUAUGUUAUUAAUAACAUGAGUGAUACCACUUUUUAUGAACCUAUUAAAUUGUGCAGAAUUUCACCAGUGACCAGUUCUGCUUUAAGAGGAGCAGUUACUUCUCACCCUCAAGUUAUGUAAAAAUCAUGCUUAUCUCAGUAGCAUUUACACAUUUUACCCCAUGAUGCCACAGGCACACUUGCACAACUACAGAAAAACCCCUACAAGCACAUGCAUUCUUAAGCAUUCAUUCAGUAUUGCUGUACAUGCGCAUGCAGCAUGCAUGCAUUAGUGCAAGGGUUAAUUUAAUUUAUUUGUCUCCCUUGGCAUGCAUAUCAGUGUAUGCACAUUUUUUUCAAAAAAACUGAGAAUGUUUAUUAAUAAGUAGAAUUAACCAACAGCUAAGAUUUAGUUAGCUAAUGGAUUGUGGAAAAAUCUCACAAGUGACAGUGCUGCAUCCC